CUGGACCAAUCACCAGAGUCUCUGGCUUCCUCCUUCAGGUCUUCCGCCAUGCCCUUGUCACACUCUUCUCAAGGAAGGAUGGUGUGAUUUGUGUAAAGACAUUUCCCUUCCAAAGCAAACACUCAACUUGACCUCUCCUAUGCCAAGGGUAAAGAAUAGCAACACAAACAACAAGUACUACUGAUGCCUUGGAGAUGUUAAUUACCUCUGUAAAACCACAAAAGUCUGGAGAGACACUAAUGUUGAAACUGACCGAGAAACAGGGACAUUAAUUAAUGUUGCUUUCGUAAAAGUGCAUCAACGUGCCUGGUUUCUUUGGUUGGAGCCCAGCAACACACGCCACCUAGAGAGAUGCCGGUACCGCCUAGCGGAGAGGGAGCAGUUGAGUGAAGAGAAGUGAAUAGAAGAAUAAUAAACACAGCCAGGACAGAGGGUACAGCGGGGAAACAUUGCGCCGCGCUGACCACCCAGCGAUCAGAGAUGACGGAGCCCCCACACUGGUGCACACCGUCGUACUGCAGACUGACCUGC